rnacentral:tRNA from 1 species
UGGUGCAUAGCCAAAUGGAAAGGCAAUAACUUUUGAUGUUAUCAUUUAAAGGUUCAAAUCCUUUUGCACCAG